AGGAACAGAUAGGGCUAGUGAUUGAUUGGGCCCUGGGAGAUGGCUGGACAAUACCAGGAGUUCUGUUCCAAGACUAUUCAGUGACCAAAACCACAAGGCUGCUUUCUUUAAUAUGUAGUUUAUUCUCCCUCCACCACAUUACUUGAAAGAACAGCAAGGAAAAAAGGAGAUUAAAGAAGCAGAGGACGACCCAGGACAUUCUAGUCUCCAUCUUGGCUCAAAAAACCCUCUACUACAAAGCCUAACAUUGUGCCAUCUGGCAAAGGAGAAAUAUUUACAGGAUUCAGCUCCAUUAUCACAGAGCAGGUCUUAAAAAUUGUCUGCAAAGCUGCACUGAAUAACAGAUAUCCUAGGAGGGGAUAUUUUUCACCUCUAUAAUGAAGAAAAGCAGGAGUGUGAUGACAGUGACGGCUGAUGAUGUAAGUUCCAAAAGUCAGAGUUGCCAGAUUCUGCCCACUUUUUGUCUGCUCAAUGAAGAAGCCACUCCCUAAUUCUAUUCAAA